rnacentral:rRNA from 1 species
AACGAACGCUGGCGGCAUGCCUAACACAUGCAAGUCGAACGAGACCUUCGGGUCUAGUGGCGCACGGGUGCGUAACGCGUGGGAACCUGCCCUUAGGUUCGGAAUAACUCCCCGAAAGGGGUGCUAAUACCAGAUAAUGUCUUCGGACCAAAGAUUUAUCGCCUUUGGAUGGGCCCGCGUUGGAUUAGCUAGUUGGUAGGGUAAAAGCCUACCAAGGCGACGAUCCAUAGCUGGUCUGAGAGGAUGAUCAGCCACACUGGGACUGAGACACGGCCCAGACUCCUACGCGAGGCAGCAGUGGGGAAUAUUGGACAAUGGGCGAAAGCCUGAUCCAGCAACGCCGCGUGAGUGAUGAAGGCCUUAGGAUUGUAAAGCUGUUUUACCCGGGAUGAUAAUGACAGUACCGGGAGAAUAAGCUCCGGCUAACUCCGUG